rnacentral:rRNA from 1 species
UUGACCUCGAUCAGGUAGGAAUACCCGCUGAACUAA